GACGAACGCUGGCGGCGUGCUUAACACAUGCAAGUCGUACGGUAAGGCCCUUUCGGGGGUACACGAGUGGCGAACGGGUGCGUAACACGUGAGUAACCUGCCCACAACUUUGGGAUAACGCUAGGAAACUGGUGCUAAUACUGGAUAUGUGCUCCUGCUGCAUGGUGGGGGUUGGAAAGCUCCGGCGGUUGUGGAUGGACUCGCGGCCUAUCAGCUUGUUGGUGGGGUAGUGGCCUACCAAGGCGGCGACGGGUAGCCGGCCUGAGAGGGUGACCGGCCACAUUGGGACUGAGAGACGGCCCAGACUCCUACGGGUGGCAGCAGGGGGGAAUAUUGCACAAUGGGCGCAAGCCUGAUGCAGCAACGCCGCGUGCGGGAUGACGGCCUUCGGGUUGUAAACCGCUUUCAGCAGGGACGAAGCUUUUUGUGACGGUACCUGCAGAAGAAGCACCGGCUAACUACGUG
rnacentral:rRNA from 1 species